GAGUCCUUCUUCACCUUUGGUUUGGAAAAACCAGUUUCUCUCUUUUAUUGUCUGUUACCAACUUCUUUUCUAAAAGUUCAAUGGAACCCCACCAUAUGCCAAACUCUUUCUCUCCCGGCUACUUUUAUUCCCCUCUGCUCCAAUUCCACUUUCCUCUGCUUUCUUACUCUUUUGUAUUAAAGGGAGAAUGGGUAUUCAGGACUGGCCCCACCUUCUGCAGGAACCAUUUCUGUUCUGCACAGGUCUGCUGAACUGGACACUUUAUACAACACUGCCAUCUCUGGAGUAUCCACCCUGGAGGCUAAGGACCCCACGUGAGGGUGAGACUCGGCACACCCGAUUGAGGACAUGAAGAAUCUGGUGGACCGCACAUGUUGGGAGGAGCUCAGUUACACUCACAGGUGGAUACAGGCAAAGGGAGGGGAUGACCAGCAUCCCAAACAGAUAAAUGCACAGAAGGUUCCACAUGGCCUUGUCUGGAGCAGCGGCUUCAAGGAUUUCAGUGGAGUGAAGCUCAGGAGGCGUGGAGCUGGCGCCGGGGCCACAGCCGCAGCCACAGCAGCAGCGAGAGUAGCUCUGACUUAGAAAAAGAAGGGCCCGGUGAGGGACGCGGUAGAUGAAGGACACAUCUGGAGCACGCAGCCUGCUGCAGAGGGGCUGGGGAACUGGGGAUGGGCAGGCUGGACAACACACCACACAUGGA